AGAAAGUUAGUCUAACCAAGAUA
rnacentral:tRNA from 1 species